AUAUUGCACAAUGGGGGAAACCCUGAUGCAGCGACGCCGCGUGGAGGAAGAAGGUCUUCGGAUUGUAAACUCCUGUUGUUGAGGAAGAUAAUGACGGUACUCAACAAGGAAGUGACGGCUAACUACGUGCCAGCAGCCGCGGUAAAACGUAGGUCACAAGCGUUGUCCGGAAUUACUGGGUGUAAAGGGAGCGCAGGCGGGAGAACAAGUUGGAAGUGAAAUCCAUGGGCUCAACCCAUGAACUGCUUUCAAAACUGUUUUUCUUGAGUAGUGCAGAGGUAGGCGGAAUUCCCGGUGUAGCGGUGGAAUGCGUAGAUAUCGGGAGGAACACCAGUGGCGAAGGCGGCCUACUGGGCACCAACUGACGCUGAGGCUCGAAAGUGUGGGUAGCAAACAGGAUUAGAUACCCUGGUAGUCCACACCGUAAACGAUGAUUACUAGGUGUUGGAGGAUUGACCCCUUCAGUGCCGCAGUUAACACAAUAAGUAAUCCACCUGGGGAGUACGACCGCAAGGUUGAAACUCAAAGGAAUUGACGGGGGCCCGCACAAGCAGUGGAGUAUGUGGUUUAAUUCGACGCAACGCGAAGAACCUUACCAAGUCUUGACAUCCCUUGACGAUGCUGGAAACAGCAUUUCUCUUCGGAGCAAGGAGACAGGUGGUGCAUGGUUGUCGUCAGCUCGUGUCGUGAGAUGUUGGGUUAAGUCCCGCAACGAGCGCAACCCUUAUGGUCAGUUACUACGCAAGAGGACUCUGGCCAGACUGCCGUUGACAAAACGGAGGAAGGUGGGGAUGACGUCAAAUCAUCAUGCCCUUUAUGACUUGGGCUACACACGUACUACAAUGGCGUUAAACAAAGAGAAGCAAGACCGCGAGGUGGAGCAAAACUCAGAAACAACGUCCCAGUUCGGACUGCAGGCUGCAACUCGCCUGCACGAAGUCGGAAUUGCUAGUAAUCGUGGAUCAGCAUGCCACGGUGAAUACGUUCCCGGGCCUUGUACACACCGCCCGUCACACCAUGAGAGCCGGGGGGACCCGAAGUCGGUAGUCUAACCGCAAGGAGGACGCCGCCGAAGGUAAAACUGGUGAUUGGGGUGAAGUCGUAACAAGGUAGCCGUA
rnacentral:rRNA from 1 species